CUUCCGUUACUUCAGGGCUGAAGAAAGGAGGAGGGACUUGACCGGAGCGGUUGAAUGUCCGCUGUGGGUUCACACAGAGCGGAACAGCGCCAACUCCUCCGCAGCAGACUGACUGGGCACAAUCCACGCCGCCUUUAAAACCCCUGGAAGGUUUCCCCAAUUCCGAACUUCUCUUUUUAAAGAGUGUCCGUAUCUCCAGAGUCCUAACCAGCGGUGCGCUCUUCGGCUCGCCGGCUUUUUGCGCACGGACGUGUCUCCAAAUUCCGCCACUGGGCUCUGCUGCGCUGCGCUACUUCCACUCAGCUGAGCAGUAUCGAGCGUCAACUGCAGCCCGGCUUUAUUACUCUCUGUUGCUUAGUUGUUGUUUUUCGUCGCCGGACUGAAAAGCAGCGGUUUUUUGGCUCAUGGGUAUUUAGUGUCGUGACAUGCUUUCAGGACCCGGCGCCUCCACAGAGAAAUGGGACUCUCUGCCUUUAUGGUUACAUGAAUGUCAGCUCUGCAGGCCAGAUGCCGGUGAUGGAGGAGCUUGUCAGUGAGAGUGACAGCAUGCCAAAGUGGAUAGCUCUCAUCUGCUUCCUGUCUCUGGUCAUGCUGAUGAGUGUCUUGGGAAACCUGCUAGUCAUGGUGGCGGUCUGCAAGGACAGACAACUCAGGAAAAUCAAGACCAACUAUUUCAUUGUGUCUCUGGCAUUUGCCGACUUGCUCGUGUCAGUGCUGGUGAUGCCAUUUGGUGCCAUCGAGCUGGUCCACCAGCACUGGAUCUACGGAGAGACGUUCUGUCUGGUCCGGACAUCAUUGGAUGUUCUUCUGACCACCGCGUCUAUACUGCACCUGUGCUGCAUCGCUCUGGACAGGUACUACGCUAUCUGCUGCAAGCCUCUGGUCUACCGGAACAAAAUGACACCCAUGCGAGUGGCUUUAAUGAUGGGUGGCUGCUGGGUCAUUCCCACUUUCAUCUCUUUCCUACCCAUCAUGCAGGGCUGGAACAGCAUCGGCAUCGACCACCUGAUUGAGCAGAGGCGCCACAAUGGAAGCAGCAACUCCACUUCUUGUGUUUUUAUGGUCAACAAGCCAUAUGCCCUCACAUGCUCUUUGGUGGCGUUCUACAUCCCUCUGGUCCUCAUGGUGCUGGCUUACCAGAGGAUCUACAUCACAGCUCGAGCACAUGCCCUGCAGAUCAGUAUGCUACAGCGGGCAGGUGGGGCUGGGGCCUCCACUCCUGGUACCUCAGGUGCAAGCCCGGGAGUGGGUGCAACGUCAGAGUCUGCUGACCAUCAACGCAAUCACCGUAUGCGAACAGAAACAAAAGCAGCAAAGACUCUAUGCAUCAUUAUGGGAUGUUUCUGCCUCUGUUGGGCACCAUUCUUUGUUACCAAUGUGGUGGACCCAUUUAUAGGCUAUACAGUACCCGAACAGCUGUGGACCGCCUGCCUGUGGUUGGGUUACAUAAACUCCAUGCUGAACCCCAUUCUGUACGCCUUCCUCAACAAGUCAUUUCGCCGUGCCUUCCUCAUCAUCUUAUGUUGUGGGAGGAAGAGGUAUCGCAGGCCAUCCAUCAUGACAUCUGGCACUACCUGUACAGCCACACAGAUCAAUGGUUCAACACAUGUACUCAAUCCCAGUCAGGAAGAAGAUGAUGGUGCAGGAUGUGGUCAGCUCCUUUACCAGUCUCUCGGUCCACGGGAAUCAGCAGGCAGCAGGAAAGUCCAGUGAAGAAGGCCAGUGAAGUUUUCCAGCACAGUCAUAUACACUAUCACUGUAAGCUCAUCUCUAUGCAUUAGGCUUAACUCUGGAAGCUCCCAUGAAAGAAACAUGAGCUAAGUCUUCUUUUGCUAGCCGAUUUAGCUUACAGUACUCCAAGUCCAUCCACUUUGUUAAUGAAUGCUAAUGCAUUAGCGAGCAAUAAAUAAAAACUCACGACUACUGUACAGCAAAUUCCAGGUUGAAAUAAUCACAGUAGCUUCAAACAAAAGGGUAGAAUUCUGUACACAGACUAUCAAGUUGAAAAGUCUAAAAUAUCAGCAAACACCCGUUUUUAAUAACUUCGCCAUGUUUCUUUUUUUCAGCACGGUCAAGCUCUCUCUCAUGGUGUAGAUUACUUCCUGGUUCUUCACCAAUCACGGACUGGUAUUCUGUUCUUCACAACGGGAAUCACAAAGAGCAGAAUAAGAAGCCUCUGCACACAAACAUCGGCUCCUGUGAGUCCUGCUUGUGACAAACAGCGACCCCACAAUCACAACUCCAACAUCCUCGCCUCUCACAUUGUCACCGCACUGCUGAAGGAAACACCACAGCCUUCUCACCUUCAGAGCGGGACUGUGAGCCAGAUCCUAGGAAGGACUGUAAAUGAUGGAGAGGAUGAGUGGGGCACUGCCACUGAAUUUAAAGCCCAGUCUAAACUUAACCCGAGGUCUUUUCGUGUGCAGUGGGGUUAAAACCAGCAUUUCUUCUCUCUGAUGCUGGUUAAUGUGUUAAUUUUCUCAUCUGCAGAAGUGCAGAGACUGAGCUGGCCCAAUCAAACUCCGUGUUCAUCUUGUAUUGUGCAGAACCAGCAGCUGUGGUGUAGUGUGUGGGAGAAUUUCUCUGCUGAUGUGGUUAUUUACUGUGCUGGAGAGUCGUAGAGGUGAAAUACAUUGCCAAAGUGGUUUUCAUACACAUACAGUGGAAUUGUUUCUGAAUAUUAUAUAAUGCUCCCUGUUGUUUUUUAGUGACAAAAACAAUCUGAAAGAUUUACUUUAGAUUGUAAAAGGUUGUUUUUUUGGUAUAUGACCUCAUAGGUUGGAAAACUGAGCUUCGGAAGCAAGAGACAACCCAGAACAUUUAUUUUGUUGUGGCUAAACAUCACUUAGACAUCACAUGUGUCUGCCUUGCCUAAAACAAAACCGUUUUUUUCUCAGAGGUCAAAGCUUCCCAGCUCUGCUAAGUCUUCACCAGGAUAAAAGGAAAACAGGGUUUCCAAGACUGAAUUAAAUCCCUGACCUAAACUGUCCAAGUGCAUUAUUAUAAAGGCUGCUAGCUACCACCCCUGUGUUCAUCACACCACACGCUCCAUCUGAAUGUUUUAAGUUUCACUGCAAAAUGUUAAGAGGACCACAACCCAUGAAAGCUGCUCAUGAAUGAUUCAACAGAUUUUCGAACGAUUUUAGAGCACUGUGUGCUUGUUCUCGCUGUUUGAUUACAUUUAAAGUUUUUUCAUUCAUGUGUAUGUAUGAGACUUUUUUCCAUCGUCCAACAGUGUGUUGCUCCUUCUAGGCACACCAUUGACUCCCUGGGUCUGUGCUCACCUUGGAGACUAUGAUAAGGAAUGUACUAGAGGAACUUCCAUGUGUUUUAUUCAAGGAGACGUAACACAAGCAAAUGUUUUCUUGUACUCGUAAUACAAACUUGUCCUUUUUUAAACACAGUCGUAGUCUUUUGUUUUUGUCAUUUCCUUACAUGCUUCACCUUUCAAUGUGAAAUUAAAAUGCAAAAUUAGUUUUUUUCUUUUUUUUUUUCAACAGGGCAGGCAAAGUUAAAUGGAAGCAACCUCUAAUAACAUGUUCAGGCACCAUUUGCACCCUGUUGUUUCCUCCGCUUAAUUGCGCAGCAUUGUGGGGAAGUUUCUUGAUUUCAAUGAAUUAAAUUAAAAAAAAACAACAGGAGCCUGCUGCACACUGAAAUAUAUAAAGGUGUCAUAUCAAUAGGUUUGCUUUUGUUCCUUUGUUCACUGGGAGAGAAAUCUACAGCAUUCAUACCCAAUGAACAUUUUCACAUUUGGUCUUGUUACAAACACAAACCUCAGUUAAUUAUCUGAGUAGAAUGGGAGUACUUUUCAAAUGUUUAUUUGCAAACCAUUUUAAAAACCAUGUAACAUUUUCUGUGCACUUGUUAUGCACUACUUUCUGUAGCUUUAUCAUACAAAAUUCCUAUAACAUCAAUUUUGUUAAGUUUGUGAUUGUAACGCAAAAAAUGUGAAAUGUAAAUGGUAUGAAAGUGUUUGCAAGCACUGUAGGGUUUUUUUCUUUAGCAAAAGUUGAAAAAUAUUCAGGCGACCAAUUUGUAUACAUAUUUAGUAAAACACUAAGUUGAGUUUCUAGAUUUUAUUCCUCAUUCAGUUAUCUAAAAGAUGAAAAAUCUUUAUUUAUACUGUGCCUAGAUUAAGGCACAAUGUAUUCUUCAAACGGUAAAAGAAAAACUACCACAGGUCACAGUCUUUCAGCUUCUGCACAUAAUCCCUUGUAGUGUAAAGGUAACAUCUUUAAACCUCAUGAAGAAGAUAACUUUAUUCCAAAGAUUGGACAUUGAAACACAUGGAUAUGGAUAUCUAAACUAUUCCUUUGUAUCUCUGGCUGUAUGUUUAGGGUUGUUCUCCAGUUGAAAUACAUAUUGUCAGAGUCUCAAAGCUUUUGCUGCCUCUAACAGUUUUUUUUUUUUUUUCAUGUUUACCCGGUAUUUAGCUCCAUGCAUAUUCAGGUCAAUUUAGGUUCCCUUUGCCUGUUAUAGAAAAGUACCUAUAGGUCAUGAUGCUGCUAUCACCAUGUGUUAUCAUGCUGAUAAUGUGAUCAGGGUCAUGUGCAGUUUUAAUUAUCAACAACACAGCAAUUUGCAUGUAGGCCAAAAACUCAGGUUUUGGCCUCAUUUGAUCAGAGAACUUUCUUACACAUGUUUGUUGUGCCCCGUACCUGACUUGUUGCAAAAUAUUAAUGAGACUUCCUAUGGUUUUCUUAUAACAAUAGCUUUUUUCAUAAAGGUCAGACGUGUGGAAUCCAUGACAGGCAUUUAAUCUAUCAAUAUAUUCUCCUACUGUGGAUCUGUGGAUCUCUGCAGUUUCUCCUAAAUUAGCAUGGGUCUCCUUUCACCUUCUCUGAUCGAAUGGCAACAUUUUGAGCGGUGUGUGGUUGAGCUUUAAGGGCUUCACAGAACAGCUGUAUUUAAACUCAGAUUAAUCAUCAACUCAUUUAUUGGUUUUACUUUGGGGUAACUGUAAAAGAAGCGUGAUAAAGAUGCACACAAUUUUUAGAAUUUAUUUUUAAAAAAACAUUUGAACCAUGUAUCAACUAUGCACUUUUUCUUCAGUAUAUCCCAAUGAAUCCUGAUUAAACACAUUUAAAUUUAUGGUCAUUAUGUUAUAGAAUGUGAAACUGCAAAGUUCUGGAAAUCCUUGCUCGACAAAAAUCUGUAAACAAAGGCAGCACAUUCAAUUACAUAACUUAACACGCAAAAUGUUACACGUGGUGUUCUUUUAAAAGUAAUUUGUUCUUCUAUUUUGUUUUGUUUUUUUGCAUAUAAACAGGAAGGAAGAAUCCCCAAGGCCAUUACUGAGUAAUACACCUUUUCUUUUUGGAGAUUUAAUGGCAACCCUCUUAAGUGACUGCAGUUUCCAUGACACCUGCGUCUACUUCUUAAUGUCAGUCAGUGUGUGUGUCUGUGCAUUUUUCUCCCUUUGCUGUGUGGGAAGCUUGUCAACAGUCUAAAAUUAUAAGCUCAUGCUCGCCUACCCUAAUGAAAUUCAGUAAACCAAAAAUCAUGAGCUGCAGAUACAGACAGUGAAGGAAGCUGGGGACCAUGUGAGGUGAUUUAAAGGGGUCAUCCUGCAACUUGAGACUGAUAAGAAAUGAGAAGACAGUAUUUCUCUAAAUGGAAACACGUUCAGGUUAAAAGUCUUCAUUUUUUUAUUUUUUUGUCACUACUUCAAAGAGUUUCCAUCCACUUGCGAGGAGAUCUGUGAAAUUCACAUGCAGCCUUCAAAGCCUUUGCUUCAUUAGAGAUAAUUCUUUGAGCUUGAGGUUUCCAUCUGAUGAUGACCUUGAAGUGCUGGAGAUGACUGGCGGUCAACCAACAAGGUCUGUGAUUUUUUUUCCUGGAAAGAUAAUGAUCAACAGUACAUCUCUCCAGAUGCUUGGUUGCCCUUCCAAAGUCACCUAAGGAACUAAAUCCCUCCUUUAUUGUUCAUUGUAGAGCUGAAAAAUCCCCUAAAUCUCGUUAAAAAGAAGAGCAGAACAUCAGGUCGUCUUUUUUGUAAUUUCUUUUUCAAAAGCUGUUGUUAUGGAUUUUGCUCUUUUGUAAAAUUAGUCCAUUGUUUUUCAAAAGGAUUUACGGAGAACAUUUAAUCUAUAAAACAUUUGAUAAUUGAUGUAUUUUCUUCUAAAUUCUCACCCUAAUAGGCAUCAUUAAAAAACAUAAAAAAUAUUUACUAAUGUUUUCUAAUAAACAGUUCAGCAGUUUGUUUUAUUUUCAUGUUUUGUUUUUCUAAAAGAAAACACUGUAAACUUUAACAUUUUACCUUUUCCAUAUUUCAUCUGCAGAACUCCUCUAGUCCAUUUUCAUUUUGAGUCCUACUCUUUUUUGCUGGAAAUACUUAACAAAUCUGCAGAAAAGCCUCAGAGGUCGUUUUCCUUGUAACAAUUUUUUCUGUCACUACGCCUUUUGAAUGUGUAAAUAAAAUGAAAAAGAAUAAGCUCUCCAUAAAUAAAAGGAUUAUUUUAUACA